UACAGAGGGUGCGAGCGUUGUCCGGAAUCACUGGGCGUAAAGGGCGCGUAGGUGGCGCCGCAAGUCCAUGGUGAAAGCUCGAUGCUCAACAUCGAGUCGGCCACGGAGACUGCGGGGCUCGAGCACUGUAGGGGCAGAUGGAAUUCCGGGUGUAGCGGUGGAAUGCGUAGAGAUCCGGAAGAACACCGGUGGCGAAGGCGGUCUGCUGGGCAGUUGCUGACACUGAGGCGCGACAGUGUGGGGAGCAAACAGG
rnacentral:rRNA from 1 species